rnacentral:rRNA from 1 species
UACGUAGGGUGCAAGCGUUGUCCGGAAUUAUUGGGCGUAAAGAGCUCGUAGGCGGUUUGUCGCGUCUGCUGUGAAAGUUCGGGGCUCAACCCCGGAACUGCAGUGGGUACGGGCAGACUAGAGUGCGGUAGAGGAGACUGGAAUUCCUGGUGUAGCGGUGGAAUGCGCAGAUAUCAGGAGGAACACCAGUGGCGAAGGCGGGUCUCUGGGCCGCAACUGACGCUGCGGAGCGAAAGCGUGGGGAGCAUACAGG